UAAUCAAGUAAUCUUAUUUAUGUUUGAAAGUGUCAUCCCUCAACAAUAAAAAAUGGGAAACAUGUAGACCCAACCUAAUUACUACUACCCUUGACUGGGUGAACCGUGAUUCACGUUGAUUUAUUUAUUUUAAUAAUAAUUAAGAGAAAGACAAGGUAGCUAGGUGUCGAUGGAGUUGAGGAAGAGGGAUGAUAGUGAAAGUGAAGAUCCGAAAGGCCUUUGAGAAAAACAAUCAAGAUUGUCUCCAUAUCCAACUCCAAGUAUGUCACAAUAUCUCUUGUAAAAUCCAAUUCGAUCCUGCACUCUUCCAUCCUGUCCUCUUCCGCAUUCAAGCCCUCCGUUUAUUAUGUUGGUCACCGUACCGUAUCCCGGGAGCCUCCCUGCCGCACGAUCUGCACUGGAAGGACUCCAUCUUCCGGUGAUAACGUCAUGGCAGGAUGGCUUAGGUGACUGGGGCGUCAUCCAGAACCAUAGAGCGGUCUUGAAGGAUAUAACAGGGUCGGUGGCUACGAGGUCUGGAUUGUUGAGCAAGUCAACACCAAUUGCUCUUCCACACUGUCCAUAGUUGUAAUUCCAAGAGAUCUGGAUGGGACCCCUACCGUAGUAUUGCUUCCCAGAAGCACAUGGGAAUUCAGAGCUUGGUUGGCAGUAUGUGCUGCUGGGAUUCUGUUCUCUCACAAAGCAGUAUCCCCAAGCAUAUGGGCCAUCAGGUGCAGUUGCCCAUCCACCUGUGGUUUCGUGUGAUGUUUGACCCAAGAAAGCAGCAAUCUCUCUUUUUUUAGUUGCAGUAUCUCCAUUAUUGGCAAAGUUGGGGAAAGCCUUGGCAGCUGAGAUGAAAGCAUCAUAGGUGUACAAUCUUUUUCCCUGACACCCACUGUCGUCACGGUGCUUGAGCAUAUUGUUGAAGGUGUCCCUUGAGAUGAGGCUACCAAGGUCACCGCUGCUUCCACUACAUUGACUCUGACAACCAUCACCACAGUAGUCGCCGGUUGAUCCACACCAACCAAACUUGCUACAACAUAAUCCCCCUGGGCACAACGCACCCCCAGCUUGUUUACCGCAUUGCUCCGCAAAGGAGCAUCCUAUAAUUACAAGUAGAACUGCUGUUGUUACUACUAGUGCCAACCUCAUCAUCAUUAACAACGCUUUGUAAUUGUGUGUUAUUUGUUUGUGUAGAUACCAACUCCCCCAUCCAUCUAUAUUAUAUAGGCGCGG
rnacentral:lncRNA from 1 species